GAAAAUCAUUAACCUAUAAAUUACAGAUUAGAGACAACAGAUCAGACCUUAAAGAUGUGGUAGUAAUACAUUAAGUUUCUAAAAUAAUGUUUUUUAGCUUAAAGGACAUUUAUUUUUAACUUAAAAGGUGAACUACAUUUUAAUUAACCUUGUGCCUUUAAACGCAGUCUGCAAGUUCUAGAGAACUCAGUUUUGACUUUGAAUUCACCUAAUGGAGGGAUCAAGAAUGUUGGAUCCGGAGUGAGCUUCUUUUGAGGACUGUUUGUCAAUAACAGCUUUUGCCACAGAGGGCUUUUGUGAGGAUUAACCACUGAAAGGUACGCUAAGCCCCAUGAACACCGACUUGCAAACAGUGGGACCUAGCUAAUUGACUUCUCUCCCACUUUUCUUCUUCUUCUUUACUAGACUACUUCAAAGCAGAAGCUGUUUCAAAAGAGCAGGGGGCAGACAGUGAGGACUAGAGAGGAGAAAGCAGAGGAAGCCCAAAUUAGUCCUUGUCGAGUCGAAUUUGGUGGUCCGAUUCCGAUGCAGUUCCGGAAUCAGCCACACGAUGGCAGCACAAGCAUGGUGGCCUUCUAACUAUCGAAAGCUUGGGCAAUUUAAAUUCCCAGUUUUAAAGCUAGGGGCGCUUGGGUGUGUUUGUAGUUGUGCCUGCGAAUCAAAGCUGUGCCCAUCUUUAAUAGUCUCAGCUGAGCUGUAACGCAGAUCGACAGGAAAAUCUACAAGAGCUUCACGGUCUUUCCCGAAAAAUCCCAACAGGAGUUUGAUAGUAAAAAAAAAAAAAAAAAAAAAAAAAGAAGAAGAAGAAGAAGAAAAAGGAGAAAAAGCACCUAACUUGGUAUUCAUUUCUAAUGGGGGAGAACGUCCUUAAAUCCGCGGCAUCUGUUCCGCUGGGUUUGCUGUCAGUGAGCAGGUAUUGCGGUUAAUGAGCCACCAGCUUGCUGCUCCCAGGGCCAGGCUGGAGCAGUCAGCUGGUGCAGGGAUGGGACCUGCAAUCAGCAGCUGUGCACCGACAUGCCCCGGGACGGAAAAUGUGAUUUGUGACACAGCAGCUUGGGAAUAAUAAUGAAAACAUAAUUGCUCCGGGCGGAUGGCUCGCUGUCUUUCAAUUGCUAAGCUACUUCACCUCACAAGCGGGGAGCUGUGCUUCUCAGCUUUCAUUUCUCUGGGACAACCAAAGGCACAGCUCUCGGGUAUCCUGCUGCCCUUCUUAAUGAAUGUUUCCUUGAAUCCCUGAGAAGAGCUGCGUUCCCUCCCUGUUCCUCCAACCAGGAAAAUCUUUCCUCUGCUCCGACUUCGGCAGUAGCAGCCAGUCUGCUUAAGCAAAGGCCCUAGAGUCAUGGCUGUGACUUGUUCUCUGCUGCCUAUUAGUAUUGUUGGGGUUUGCUUUGCAUUCUGGGAAUUUUGUUUUUCCUAGCCCAUUCGCUUCAUUUAGACUUCACACCCACGCCUCUUAAACCAUUUCUCAUCAUGACUUUGGUCUUCAGGAGACUAUCGCCUUCGGGACGAUUAUUGCCUGUGUAGGAAUACUGGGAUGAAUAGAAUAGGAAUGCUACGAUGACCCAUGUCUAGAGUUUGCAUCUUCCAGUGAUGGAGGGCAGAGGACCCUAAGGAAGACCUCGCAGCAGCUUUGGUUUGAUCUCCCAAUUGGGGAAGUCCAGUCUCCUGGGUGUCAUGUUUGGGAUCUGAGAUCAGUCACUGGGUGAUGUGGGUGCUGUACCUCAUCCCCGGGGCAUCUGCCCUGGAGGGAUGGUGUGGGCGGCUGUUGUAGCUCCUCACAGGAUGCCCCCUGUGUACACAAACAAUUCUACCUCAUUUGUGCAGGGUGUUAUUGCUGCCAUGGGUUCUGGAUGGCUGACCCAUGACAAGUCGUUCAGUUUUUAAGUUUGGAUUGUUUGGGAGUUCAAUGCUAAAAGGAAGGGUUGUUCCCGCUAAAGAGGGUUGAAACUUCUUGUUUUCCCUUUCCCAGACUGAUCAUUUUGAGGCAAAUCUCCAGUGGAGAAGAAGGGGAGUCUGCAGUUGCUCCCUGUUGUGCAGGAGCACCCAGUCCUGAAGCUUAAAGAAGAUGUACGUGAUGUCUCUUCUAUGCAGUGGUCUAAAGUGGCACCAGGUGAGUUCAUCAACUUUACCAGAUACAGUAAUGGAGUCACUGGAACUGGAUAGGCGACUGUGCAUGAGAAAAGGAGGAGACGCCAAAGAUAGAAGUGAGACCUUUGAGCAGUGGGAUGAGAAAUUUUCUUCAUCUUUUGCCUAAGAGAAGGUCAGACAUGGCAAAUCCCUGGGGUGAGAGGCCCACUGGAAAGUUACUGUAUAACUACACUCCGUGCAGUAUGAAUCACAGAACUGGAAAAUUACUCAGCAAUGAGGAAAAGACAUGGCCCGUGGAAUCCAAGACCUGCAUUCAUAUCUGUAGACAUGAGUUUAACUUAAAUUAGUAGUUCUCAGCCUUUCUAAUGUAGCAACCCAUUAAUACAGUUCCUCGGGUGGUGGUGACCCCCAACCAUAAAGUUAUUUUGUUGCUAUUUUAAAACUGUAAUUUUCCUAUUGCUACGAAUUGUAAUGUAAUGUAAAUGUAUGUGAUGGUCUUAGGUCACCCCCGUGUAAGGAUCCUUUGCCUGCAAAGGUGUCAUGACACAGAGGUUGCGAACUGCUGACAUAACGUGUCAGCAUUAACUUUCUUUUAUUUAGUGAGAGAGGGAACACAGUAACUCGUUAUCACUUUUGUUGGUGGACAGCUCAUUCUAACCAGGCCUCCUCCCUUUCCCACUUACUGAAGAGUCACAGCUUCAGCUGUGCAUUCUUCAUGAUUGUUCCACCCCUUCCUUCAAUAAUGUUCUUUCCUUAGGACUUUCUGACAUCCUGCAUGCCUAAGGGUUCCUUCUGUUUUCUUCUUCCUCGAAUUUCCGUAAUAGCUACUUCUCAACUGAUCGAAGAAGCAGGAGGUAGGCUGUCUUCUUGAUUUUUCUUACACACUCCCUCUAGUUAGUAGCCAUUAUCAUCUCAUUAGGCACCAUGCAUGUGCUGACAACUCUCAAAUGCAUUUCUGGAGCCUACACGUGUCCUUGAGAUAUGGUUUGUUUCACUCACCUGCCCAGCUGGCAUUUGCACUGGGGUGCUCUUUAAUCAACAUGUAUCUUAUAUCAACAUACUUCUGAGUCAUGAACACCUCCUUAAGAAUCUAGUUUCCCAUGUUUACCACUCCUAAAUCAAGUGUACCACAACGAUCCUCAUGACUUCAGCUAGAAGUCCCAGGUUCAUAAUCUUUUCCUCUCUUUCUUGCUCUCUAUAUAUAUGUUCUCAUAUGGACUCUAAUUCACAAAAACCUAUUCAGUUCAUUGAUUUCUGAAUGUUUUUAUGCUCAUUUCCUGGGUACUGCAUUUUUCAUUGCCAUUCUAGAGCCACUUGCCAUCCUUCUCCAUCCAGUGCUAUUGCUUGGCAGGCUUGGCAUCAUCAGUUCCCUAGUUGCUGUGCUUCGGCUGUGAAAACAGAGAGAAGGAAAGCCUGGGGUUAAGGGAUGUGUUCCAUGCUUUCCUUGAUUUGAGGCUUACUAUACACUGAAGGAAUCAUCAAUAGUAAGCCUACUUUAUCCAUACAGGAAGCCAUUCUCUUGCUCCAGGUCUCCAAGAUUCUAAACAGUAUUCUUGUGGCUUCUGUGUACCCUGACUUGAAUGAAGUCUGUAUUGAAUGUCCCCAAACUAUUUUUACUUGAAAAUUCUCUUAGGCUUUCUAUUGCUGUGAAGAAACUCCUUGACCAG